rnacentral:rRNA from 1 species
CAGCAGCCACGGUAAUACGUAGGUGGCAAGCGUCGUCCGGAAUUAUUGGGCGUAAAGGGCUCGCAGGCGGUUUCUUAAGUCUGAUGUGAAAGCCCCCGGCUCAACCGGGGAGGGUCAUUGGAAACUGGGAAACUUGAGUGCAGAAGAGGAGAGUGGAAUUCCACGUGUAGCGGUGAAAUGCGUAGAGAUGUGGAGGAACUCCAGUGGCGAAGGCGACUCUCUGGUCUGUAACUGACGCUGAGGAGCGAAAGCAUGGGGAGCGAACAGGAUUAGAUACCCCCGUAGUCCCUGUCUCUUAUAA